UUCCCCUAGUAACUGCGAGUGAAGCGGGAAAAGCUCAAAUUUAAAAUCUGGCGGUCUUUGGCCGUCCGAGUUGUAGUCUGGAGAAGUGCUUUCCGCGCUGGACCGUGUAUAAGUCUCUUGGAACAGAGCGUCAUAGAGGGUGAGAAUCCCGUCUUUGACACGGACUACCAGUGCUUUGUGAUGCGCUCUCAAAGAGUCGAGUUGUUUGGGAAUGCAGCUCAAAAUGGGUGGUGAAUUCCAUCUAAAGCUAAAUAUUGGCGAGAGACCGAUAGCGAACAAGUACCGUGAGGGAAAGAUGAAAAGCACUUUGGAAAGAGAGUUAAACAGUACGUGAAAUUGCUGAAAGGGAAACGCUUGAAGUCAGUCGCGUUUGCCGGAACUCAGCCUUCCUUUUGGUUGGUGCACUUUCCGGUAGACGGGCCAGCAUCGAUUUCGACCGUCGGAUAAGGGCUGGGGAAAUGUGGCACCUUUCGGGGUGUGUUAUAGUCCUCAGUCGCAUACGUCGGUUGGGAUCGAGGAUCGCAGCGCGCCGCAAGGCAGGGGUUCGCCCACUUUCGCGCUUAGGAUGCUGGCAUAAUGGCUUUAAACGACCCGUCUUGAAACACGGACCAAGGAGUCUAACAAACCUGCGAGUGUUUGGGUGGAAAACCCGAGCGCGUAAUGAAAGUGAAAGUUGAGACCUCUGUCGUGGAGGGCAUCGACGCCCGGACCUGAAGUUCUCUGACGGUUCCGCGGUAGAGCAUGUUUGUUGGGACCCGAAAGAUGGUGAACUAUGCCUGAAUAGGGUGAAGCCAGAGGAAACUCUGGUGGAGGCUCGUAGCGAUUCUGACGUGCAAAUCGAUCGUCAAAUUUGGGUAUAGGGGCGAAAGACU
rnacentral:rRNA from 1 species